GGGAUUCCUGGCAGAGUGAUUUGGUACGGUAUCAUAAAAUCACAUUGCCAGGGAUUUCCAACCAGCUG
ensembl:miRNA